UAGAAUGAGGCUUGCCGGUUAGAGCGCUUAGCUGUUAACUAAGAUUCUGCGGGAUCGAGGCCCGCCUUUCUAG
rnacentral:tRNA from 1 species